UACGUAGGGGGCGAGCGUUGUCCGGAUUUAUUGGGCGUAAAGAGCGUGUAGGCGGCCAGGUAGGUCUGCUGUGAAAACUCGAGGCUCAACCUCGAGACGUCGGCGGAAACCAUCUGGCUAGAGUCCGGAAGAGGAGAGUGGAAUUCCUGGUGUAGCGGUGAAAUGCGCAGAUAUCAGGAAGAACACCAAUGGCGAAAGCAGCUCUCUGGGACGGUACUGACGCUGAGACGCGAAAGCGUGGGAGCGAACAGG
rnacentral:rRNA from 1 species